AGCCCCAUAGUGUAGCGGUCAAUCAUGCGGGCCUUUGGAGCCCGCGACCGGGGUUCGAAUCCCCGCGGGGCUA
rnacentral:tRNA from 1 species